rnacentral:rRNA from 1 species
UACGGAGGGUGCAAGCGUUGUCCGGAAUCACUGGGCGUAAAGGGCGCGUAGGCGGCUCGGUAAGUAGGGGGUGAAAUCCUGCGGCUUAACCGCAGGGCUGCCUUCUAAACUGUCGAGCUUGAGCACGGUAGAGGCAGAUGGAAUUCCCGGUGUAGCGGUGGAAUGCGCAGAUAUCAGGAAGAACACCCGUGGCGAAGGCGGCUCACUGGCCCGAAACUGACGCUGAGGCACGAAAGCGUGGGGAGCAAACAGG